rnacentral:rRNA from 1 species
UAAGACAGAGGUGCCAAGCGUUAGGCGGAAUCACUGGGCUUAAAGCGUGUGUAGGCGGGUUUGUAAGUACCUUGUGAAAUCCCACGGCUCAACCGUGGAACUGCUGGGUAUACUGCGAAUCUUGAGCCACUUAGGGGCAACCGGAACAAACGGUGGAGCGGUGAAAUGCGUAGAUAUCGUUUGGAACGCCAAUGGUGAAAACAGGUUGCUGGGAGUGUGCUGACGCUGAGACACGAAAGCCAGGGGAGCAAACGGGAUUAGAUACCCCGGUAGUCCUGGCCGUAAACGAUGUCGACUAGAUCGCAGCAGCUCUGACGCUGUUGCGGUCGAAGCAAAAGUGCUAAGUCGACCGCCUGGGAAGUACGGUCGCAAGGCUA